UCUAAUAUGGCAGAUUAAUGCAAUAAAUUUAAGCUUUAUUUAUAAAGAAUAUUCUUUUAUUAGAAU
rnacentral:tRNA from 1 species